UACGUAGGGGGCGAGCGUUGUCCGGAAUUACUGGGCGUAAAGCGUGCGUAGACGGUUAUGUAAGUUAGGUGUGAAAGCCCCGGGCUCAACCUGGGAAUUGCAUUUAAGACUGCAUAGCUAGGGUGCGGAAGAGGGAAGCGGAAUUUCCGGUGUAGCGGUGAAAUGCGUAGAUAUCGGAAGGAACAUCAGUGGCGAAAGCGGCUUCCUGGUCCAGCACCGACGUUCAGGCACGAAAGCGUGGGGAGCAAACAGG
rnacentral:rRNA from 1 species